AAACUGCGAUAAGCAAUGCGAAACGCAGUUGUUCGUGAGUCAUCCGGUAUUCGAACGCACAUGGCAGGUCUUCGGACCUACGUCUGGUUGAGGGUCUUUAUUACUCCAUUUCAAUGGGAUGUGAGUGGGCAAUUGGCUCACUUUAAAGGAAGGGUAACUUGUACCGUAACCGUUUGGUGGACAAUCGAGCGGGAACUGGUUGCGAGCGAUGUUUGGCAAGCAAGCAUCAAAUCCUUUUUGACCUCAACUCAGACGAGACUACCCGCUGAACUUAA
rnacentral:misc_RNA from 1 species